rnacentral:rRNA from 1 species
AAACCGUUGUGAGGUAAACGGAGAGGCCCGACGGUCGCUUCGGUGCUUUCAGUUGGGUGGCUUGUUGAUCUCGCCCUGUCGGAGAUGUGCAUAGCACUUCGUCGGGUGAUUUUGGCAGUCGCCUUCGCAUUAGCGCCGUUGCGAACGCCGCGACCGGUUGUGUGGCUACCAGAAGUCUUGCGCGAAGGUAGCCCUAACGUCUUCGGGUGUUGGGGUGUUACAGCGUGCGGGGUAGACGGCUUCGUGCGCGAUCGAGGUAUGCCUGGCCGCGCCUGCCUUUCGGGGCGAGUGGUGUCGUCGGUCGUGUUCGUUCGCGAUUCGCUCACUGUUUUCAGAGGGCGUUUUGCGUGCGUUCGCGUCUGGCGGCUCGCUCUCUGGG